UGCUAGUCGGACGAGUUCAGACUCGUGGCGAAUAGCUCAGUAACACGUGGCCAAGCUACCCUUCAGACCGUGAUACCCUCGGGAAACUGAGGUCAAUAAUGGAUACGGUAUCCAUGUUGGAAGACAGGAUACUCCAAACGCUUUCCGCGCUGAAGGAUGCGGCUGCGGCCGAUUAGGUAGACGGUGGGGUAACGGCCCACCGUGCCAAUAAUUGGUACGGGUCAUGAGAGUGAGAGCCCGGAGACGGAAUCUGAGACAAGAUUCCGGGCCCUACGGGGCGCAGCAGGCGCGAAACCUUUACACUGCACGCACGUGCGAUAGGGGAAUCCCAAGUGCGAGGGCAUACUAGCCCUCGCUUUUGUGUACCCUAAGGCGGUACACGAAUAAGAGCUGGGCAAGACCGGUGCCAGCCGCCGCGGUAACACCGGCAGCCCGAGUGAUGGCCGAUAUUAUUGGGCCUAAAGCGUCCGUAGCUGGCCGCGCAAGUUCGUCGGGAAAUCCAUUCGCUUAACGAGUGGGCGUCCGGCGAAAACUGUGCGGCUUGGGACCGGAAGAUCCAAGGGGUACGUCCGGGGUAGGAGUGAAAUCCCGUAAUCCUGGACGGACCACCGAUGGCGAAAGCACCUUGGAAGGACGGAUCCGACAGUGAGGGACGAAAGCUAGGGUCUCGAACCGGAUUAGAUACCCGGGUAGUCCUAGCCGUAAACGAUGCUCGCUAGG
rnacentral:rRNA from 1 species